rnacentral:rRNA from 1 species
CGGAGGGGCGUAGCGUUGUUCGGAAUUACUGGGGCGUAAAGCGCACGUAGGCGGACUGGAAAGUUGGGGGUGGAAGUACCCGGGGCGUCAACCUCGGAACUGCCUUCAAACUAUCAGUCUGGAGUUCGAGAGAGGUGAGUGGAAUUCCGAGUGUAGAGGUGAAAUUCGUAGAUAUUCGGAGGAACACCAGUGGCGAAGGCGGCUCACUGGCUCGAUACUGACGCUGAGGUGCGAAAGCGUGGGGAGCAAACAGGAUU